rnacentral:rRNA from 1 species
GGAAUUUUGGACAAUGGGCGCAAGCCUGAUCCAGCAAUGCCGCGUGAGUGAAGAAGGCCUUCGGGUUGUAAAGCUCUUUUGUCAGGGAAGAAACGGGUUUUUCUAAUACAGAGACCUAAUGACGGUACCUGAAGAAUAAGCACCGGCUAACUACGUGCCAGCAGCCGCGGUAAUACGUAGGGUGCAAGCGUUAAUCGGAAUUACUGGGCGUAAAGCGUGCGCAGGCGGUUUUGUAAGUCUGUUGUGAAAUCCCCGGGCUCAACCUGGGAAUGGCAAUGGAGACUGCAAGGCUAGAGUUUGGCAGAGGGGGGUAGAAUUCCACGUGUAGCAGUGAAAUGCGUAGAUAUGUGGAGGAACACCGAUGGCGAAGGCAGCCCCCUGGGUCAAAACUGACGCUCAUGCACGAAAGCGUGGGGAGCAAACAGGAUUAGAUACCCGGG